UCAUAACAUAAAUUUCUCCAGAGAAUGUCGCUAGCAUCCAACAUGCCGAGAAUCAAAAAUGUUAAUAAAUUAAAGAAAUCUUGCCUUUCUGCUUUGAGCGGUCUGCGAACACCGAUUGGUUGUUACGCCCACUUAAAGGUUCAGUUUCGACGCCAUCUUUCGGCAUUUCUCAUUGCACCACCUCCCUCCCUCACCCCCUUGCCUUACUCCAUUUUUGUUCGUCUGUGGUGCGACUGCAACGGCACAGAUUAUAAAGCUCAUGGCAUUUGCCUUCUUUGUUCCAACGGGUUAUGACUUUCUUUGAUGGAAGAUACUCGGGCUACAAACCGCGUCAUGUGGUAGUGGUGGUUUAGCCCGAGAAUCUUUCGUCAGCUUCGGUCGCCGCGAAAGCUUCACUUUAUUCAUACAUGACUUUCUUAUCUGCCCCAAAUUGUGUGUUUUUACUAACCUUUCAAAGUACUGUGAACGCUUGAGGCGAUAUGUGAUUGAAUGUGGAACACCAGUGAAAUGAUAUUCACAGUGUAAAGGUGAAAGGACUCUCAGGGAAGCCACCGAGUGCCACUUUGACUGCCACAAAACUCACAUGGACAGCCCUGGGAGAGAACAAGAAGCCGGCGACGAAUCGCCUGACCGAAGGCAUGGCCACUAAUUCUAUUAGAUACAGAUGUGAGAACAGCACUAACUAGCCACAUCGAUGCACUGAGAGGGCAGCACUGUAGCAAUGCUAACAGCUGAGGAUCGUCGUUCGUGUGCACAUGGAGGAGUCCCAUCAAGGAAAUUAAAUAUCUGGAUGAAAGUUACACCGGCUCAGGUAAUAAUCCUGUCCGCCAUGGAUGAACGUGUCCCGCGGUGGAUUUCGCAGACUCAAACUUCAGAUGAAUUCUGU